ACACUGUUAUUGCUUUGCAGGCUGAUGUUCCUCAGGGAGUGAUACGGGUGCAAGCACCUCAUCUUUCGAAAGUUUCCAUGGCAAUACAGCUAACAGAAGACCUGAAAGCCAGUGAUAUAGUAGCCAGAUUUCUCAGUGAGAAAAGUGGAAAUGUCCAAACACUCAAGAAAGAAGAGGUCUUCCUUUAUGAAAUAGGAGGAAAUAUUGGGGAACGUUGCCUUGAUGAUGAUACCUACAUGAAGGACCUCUACCAGCUCAACCCAAAUGCUGAGUGGGUUAUAAAAUCCAAGCAGAGCUAAGCAAAUAGCAAAAGAACAAACCAUGGACUUACUUUGUAAUGCUGAAUUUUUCAAAGGGGUAGUGUGUUUUUCAGCAUUCAACUGUAUUAUACUUAUUAAUAGAAACGUACCUAGUUAAAAAAACAAACGAAAGGCAAUGGAAACCCUAGUAGUAAAUUUUCACUUUUACUUACAGCAAGAUACCAGAAAGAACUUUUCCCACUCAUUUGAUAUGAGAAUAAGUCAGUUAAACAUUUUAAUGGCACUAAUCUCCCUUGAUGAUACUCCCAUCUGGUAGGUCUGGUUUCAGAAGAAUUUAUUUUUCAAACAGAUGUUUAACCUCUUUAUGUUAGAGAUCUCAAAUCUGUUUGCAUAGAAGUGUGUGUUCACAUAGGUUUUUGCAGUGAUAGGACACUGGAGAACCAAAUCCUGAUCAGCACUUCUGAAUGGUACAGUAUUAAAAAUACCUAAAACCAUUUCUCAAGUAAGUGUGAAAUUUGCAGGACAAAACUGCAGUACAAUAUAUAUUUUGUUUUUGGAAGUCCUAAUUUUGUUCACUUUCUAGGUAAACUUUGAUAGAAACUAUUUAAAAACAACUGUGAAAAUGCUUUCUAUGCAUCUUUUUGCUAGAUCUUUUUAAUAUUUUUAUUCUUAUUAUGGCUGAUUGUAUUCUUGAUACUAUUUUUUUUUUUAAUUUUAAAGUAGGACAGUAUAACACAGUGAGUCAUUUUUAAAGCUCACCACUCUUGGCAGUGUCCUUUCUGAGAUAUUGUCACCACUAGAAAGAUGUCUGAGUUUUUCCAGCAGUGAUACACGGAUAUGUUGCAAAUGUUGAUUUCAAGGUUUUUGGACAUCUGAUAGAUUGCAGAGCAUUUUGUGAACUGCCAAAAUCUGCCAAUUAUGAGCACAAUGAAGACUUUCAGGGUGAAUAAAAUAACUGUGGAGAGAAACUGUAGGCUCAGUUUCACAGUAGCAAACCACCAAAUCUUUCACUCAAAAUCAGGGUAAAGGUCUGCUGUACAUAGGCUCUUUGGUAUUACCUACACCAGCUUUACAUCUGGUCUACCCUGGAUGAGGCCAGAAUCAAGUUCUACCUUCCCUGAUAGAUGCUGUUAAACCACUUGAAAAUUAAUAGUCCAAUGGUGAAUUAUUGCAAAUCCUCCUCUUGGCGGGGAAGAAAGGACUGAAUUCUCCCUGUGGAAUUCACUGAUACUGAAUUAUAGACUGACAUGCUGUGACCGUGGCUUCAGAAUCCAGCCCCAUAGCAAUGCUUUGGGCUCACAAACCUGUGUACCACUUCACAGUUUAUUUGUAAACUAGCUCACCCCUGCUGUAGUGCAUACCUGCGUGCUAAAGUAACCUCCUGAAGUAACUACUGUGAAAUGAUAUCCUUGGAACUAAGCAUUUUCUUCCAAUUCACACAGAAUUACAUUGACCUCAUAGAGAAUGUCUAUAUACAAUCAAGAACUGCAUUUGACUUUUUUUUUUUUUUUACUUGAUCAAAGCUGAUUAAAGGAAUCAGGGGCCUUCCUACUGAGCUUUGGAUACAGGCCCUGGCUGUGUUAUUCCCAAAGAAACCGCUCGAACUCUAUUUUAUACACAAGCAGUGAAGUAGAAUUCUGACAGGUCAUGGAAAAAGUUGGGCACCUUCUGAUUAGUUAUCCGCAGUGUACAAAUAAUUUGAGGGGUGUAAGUAUUCAUUGUUUUUAAAAAGGCUCGGAGAGGAUAUAGUGAAGGAUUUUCCAGAGCAGGAUGAAGGAAAUUGGAGACUGCUGUAGCAGGUCUGCUCCCAAUGCUCUGCCUCUGUGGGUACCCCCAUGGUGUUGCACUGAGCCAUGGUAGCACUCCCCAUGAGACAAAUCACUUUGUCAGUAGAACAAAACUCACUUGCUGUUCUUUACGGGAUAGAGCAGAAAACCAGAGCAGUGCUUAGGCAAAAUAUUUAUUAAUUUAAUGUAAUAGAAGGUGUUUUUGUCAUGUAAGGUAGAAAUGAUGUGUUGUAGUAUGCAUAGUUCUGUAAGCUACUGCUCGCAACUGGGACGCCAGGUGUUGUUUGAAUCAGGAGCAAAGUGCAGAGGAUGGGAACAGCUGCAUGGUUCUGGCGUAACAUUACAACUUGCUGGCUAUCAUCUUUUAAAUAACUUUGUUUCUGGUUUAGUGCCAUUAUUAUUAUUUUUUUUAAUUUAAAAGGCUCUUUUAUAAUUAAAUGUUAUUUUUUUUUUUCUGAC